AUUUAAGUAGUUUAUUUUAAAACAUUGGUUUGUGGAGCCAAGGAUGUAAUAUAUUACCUUAGAUC
rnacentral:tRNA from 1 species